rnacentral:rRNA from 1 species
UUCGCAAUGCCCGAAAGGGUGACGAAGCGACGCCGCGUGUGGGAAGAAGGCCUUCGGGUUGUAAACCACUGUCGGGAGUUAAGAAAUGCAAGGAUAUGAAUAGUGUCUUUGUUUGACUAAGGCUCCGGAGGAGGCCACGGCUAACUCUGUGCCAGCAGCCGCGGUAAUACAGAGGCGGCAAGCGUUGUUCGGAAUUAUUGGGCGUAAAGAGCACGUAGGCGGCUAUGUAAGUCGGUUGUGAAAGCCUUCCGCUCAACGGAAGAACAGCAUCCGAUACUACAUGGCCUGAGUGCGGGAGGGGAGAGUGGAACUUCUGGUGGAGCGGUGAAAUGCGUAGAUAUCAGAAGGAACGCCGGCGGCGAAAGCGGCUCUCUGGCCCAUAACUGACGCUGAGUGUGCGAAAGCUAGGGGAGCAAACGGGAUUAGAUACCCCGGUAGUCCUAGCCGUAAACGAUGGGCACUAAGUAGAGGGGUUUU